GGCACGGCUACAGUACGUUCAAUGCAUCUCCUUACAAUGACUCACUGAAGUUAAGGAACGUUUUGCGCGGUUGGUAUUUGGAUGGGUGACCAUCUUAGCAAUCACGUACUGCUGGCU
rnacentral:rRNA from 1 species